GGUAGUGUGGCCGAGCGGUCUAAGGCGCUGGAUUAAGGCUCCAGGCUCUUCGGAGGCGUGGGUUCAAAUCCCACCACUGCCA
rfam:Salmo salar isolate Sally breed double haploid chromosome ssa14, whole genome shotgun sequence.